GAUGAACGCUGGCGGCGUGCCUAAUACAUGCAAGUCGAGCGAACGGACGAGAAGCUUGCUUCUCUGAUGUUAGCGGCGGACGGGUGAGUAACACGUGGAUAACCUACCUAUAAGACUGGGAUAACUUCGGGAAACCGUAGCUAAUACCGGAUAAUAUUUUGAACCGCAUGGUUCAACAGUGAAAGACGGUCUUGCUGUCACUUAUAGAUGGAUCCGCGCUGCAUUAGCUAGUUGGUAAGGUAACGGCUUACCAAGGCAACGAUGCAUAGCCGACCUGAGAGGGUGAUCGUCCACAGUGGAACUGAGACACGGUCCAGACCCCUACGGGAGGCAGCAGUAGGGAAUCUUACGAAAUGGGCGAAAGCCUGACGGAGCAACGCCGCGUGAGUGAUGAAGGUCUUCGGAUCGUAAAACUCUGUUAUUAGGGAAGAACAUAUGUGUAAGUAACUGUGCACAUCUUGACGGUACCUAAUCAGAAAGCCACGGCUAACUACGUG
rnacentral:rRNA from 1 species